GGGGGUCAGUUUACUAUACAAACCUAGAAAACAUUUCUUAGACACAGUUUAGCUGUGAUUUAGAUACAUGUAGCAUUGGACAGUUGUUGUCAAAGCUUAGCUGAUAACAUAGCCAAUUAAUGGGGCUUCACAUGUUUAGGUAUGAUUUAUAGAGUCAAAAAGUUUGUGGCAAAAAAGGGCUUCACAUGUUUCUGGUGGUGCUGUGUCCAUAUCAGAGUUCCUGUGAACAACAUUGAAGACAGCAAGUUAGAUUCUUGUGGCAUCGCAGCUGAGAAAGUUGAUUGAAUUGACAGAAAACAACAAUUUAAUUUAUAGAAAACAAUUGUAAAUUGUUUUGGGUUCGUACGUGUAGCAGAGGAGGAUCAAUAUACUUAUGAGGAUCAGUCUAAUAUGAGAUAAAAUGAAAUUGAAGGGCAAUGAAAAGAGUGAAUGGUACUGAUCGUUUGAUGUUAGGUGGGAAACUCUGAAUGACCAUGUGUAAAGAUAAUGUUUCCUAUCUGUUUUCAACAUUUUGAUAGGGAUGGUUGAAUGCAAGUUGUAAUUAGGGAUUCUAAUUCAUUAAUUACUUAGAUUUUGUUUGUCAUUGCAGUCCAACUGUGUUUUUUUUUAAAAAUUAAAUAUAUUUUCAAGUAAAAAAACUUUAAAAAACAACAUUUACCACACUUCUAAACAGUUAAUGAGUCAACUGUAAGAUAAGUGUUUGUAGAUGAAGACCUAUACAAACAAAGAUGUGGAGCUUUUUGCCUUCUUGGAUGGUGGGGCUGAUUCAUCAUUGUUUGCAGGAGAAGCUUUCUGCUGAAGAGAUUCCAACGAACUUGGUGCGCUAUCUUUUAGUGAUGUCUGAGAAUCUGGGAUGCUGGAGAAGCAUACAUCUUAUUUGUGUGUAAAUCCAAGGUUGUGAGACAGUAGCCGACAACAGCAUCUUACAUGAUUUGUGUUUUUUGAACUAAAAAACGAAAGUGUGUUAUGUUAGGAUUUCAUUGUGUGUGUGUGUGUGUGUAUUUCAAUGGAUGCUAAAUCUAUACAAUUUUGAUGGAAGUGUUAAAACAGGAAGACAAUUGUAACCUAGUGUACGGUGUGGCAGUGAAUUUUGUUGGGCAGUGAAGCUUCCAUUUUGCAGCCAUAGUUUGCGCCUCGUCUACCUAACAUUGUGUUAAGACAAUCUAUAGAUUGUUUUCCCUGCAGAGCUGGAGUUUCGAUCAUUUUGCGGCAGACUGGCUGAAAAAGGCUUUGUUAUUGCUGAUGACUGCAAAAGAUGUAAGAGGAGCUUCUUGUUGGGUUACAGAGGUUGUCUCGGUCUUUAGAUCAUCUCCAAACACAUUAUUAACCACAAUAUAACAUUUGUUAGUUUCUGAUCUGGAUUUUCCAAAUCGCACUUGAAAAUUUUGGUGCUGGUCAAGCCUUCGAAGCAGCAGCGACGGAGGCGGCACAUGUUUUGGGUUCUUGUCUGAGUAUAAAACAUUUCGAAUUUUAAAGUAUAUGUUAAAUUUAAUGUUAACUAUCUGAAUUCCAUACAUUGUUCCUAAAACUUC
rnacentral:lncRNA from 1 species